AGAGUUUGAUCCUGGCUCAGGACGAACGCUGGCGGCGUGCCUAAUACAUGCAAGUCGAACGAAGCUUUCUUUCACCGAAUGCUUGCAUUCACCGAAAGAAGCUUAGUGUCGAACGGGUGAGUAACACGUAGGCAACCUGCCCAAAAGAGGGGGAUAACACUUGGAAACAGGUGCUAAUACCGCAUAACCAUGAACACCGCAUGAUGUUCAUGUAAAAGACGGCUUUUACUGUCACUUUGGAUGGGCCUGCGGCGUAUUAACUUGUUGGUGGGGUAACGGCCUACCAAGGUGAUGAUACGUAGCCGAACUGAGAGGUUGAUCGGCCACAUUGGGACUGAGACACGGCCCAAACUCCUACGGGAGGCAGCAGUAGGGAAUCCUCCACAAUGGACGAAAGUCUGAUGGAGCAACGCCGCGUGAAUGAAGAAGGCCUUCGGGUCGUAAAAUUCUGUUGUCAGAGAAGAACGUGCGUGAGAGUAACUGUUCACGUAUUGACGGUAUCUGACUAGAAAGCCACGGCUAACUACGUGCCAGCAGCCGCGGUAAUACGUAGGUGGCGAGCGUUGUCCGGAUUUAUUGGGCGUAAAGGGAACGCAGGCGGUCUUUUAAGUCUGAUGUGAAAGCCUUCGGCUUAACCGAAGUAGUGCAUUGGAAACUGGAAGACUUGAGUGCAGAAGAGGAGAGUGGAACUCCAUGUGUAGCGGUGAAAUGCGUAGAUAUAUGGAAGAACACCAGUGGCGAAAGCGGCUCUCUGGUCUGUAACUGACGCUGAGGUUCGAAAGCGUGGGUAGCAAACAGGAUUAGAUACCCUGGUAGUCCACGCCGUAAACGAUGAGUGCUAAGUGUUGGAGGGUUUCCGCCCUUCAGUGCUGCAGCUAACGCAUUAAGCACUCCGCCUGGGGAGUACGGUCGCAAGACUGAAACUCAAAGGAAUUGACGGGGGCCCGCACAAGCGGCGGAGCAUGUGGUUUAAUUCGAAGCAACGCGAAGAACCUUACCAGGUCUUGACAUCUUCUGACAAUUCCAGAGAUGGAACGUUCCCUUCGGGGACAGAAUGACAGGUGGUGCAUGGUUGUCGUCAGCUCGUGUCGUGAGAUGUUGGGUUAAGUCCCGCAACGAGCGCAACCCUUAUUGUCAGUUGCCAUCAUUAAGUUGGGCACUCUGGCGAGACUGCCGGUGACAAACCGGAGGAAGGUGGGGAUGACGUCAAAUCAUCAUGCCCCUUAUGACCUGGGCUACACACGUGCUACAAUGGACGGUACAACGAGUCGCUAACUCGCGAGGGCAAGCUAAUCUCUUAAAGCCGUUCUCAGUUCGGAUUGCAGGCUGCAACUCGCCUGCAUGAAGUCGGAAUCGCUAGUAAUCGCGAAUCAGCAUGUCGCGGUGAAUACGUUCCCGGGCCUUGUGCACACCGCCCGUCACACCAUGAGAGUUUGUAACACCCAAAGUCGGUGGGGUAACCUUUUGGAGCCAGCCGCCUAAGGUGGGACAGAUGAUUGGGGUGAAGUCGGAACAAGGUA
rnacentral:rRNA from 1 species